GCCCGCUUAGCUCAGUUGGUAGAGCGCUGGACUUUUAAUCCUGAGGUCGAGGCUUUAAGUCUCUCUUCGGGUG
rnacentral:tRNA from 1 species